GUGCUCGCUUCAGCAGCACAUAUACUAAAAUUGGAAUGAUACAGAGAAGAUUAGCAUGGCCCCUACUUUUUAGGAGGCAAAAAGUGUGUCU